rnacentral:lncRNA from 1 species
GGGAUACCUUCACCUAGUAAUGUCCAUCUUAUUUUUGAUAAAUUGGCUGGGAAAAGGAGGUGGUAGAUCGCCCAAAAAAAUUUAGUGAGUGCAACUGUGCCUUAUGUUUUUAGAAAAACAAAAGUAAAAGGAUAAAAAUGAGAAGAAAAAAACUCUUCUGACAACUUGGAAUUGACGGACAAAACGCGCCCCGACAGAGCUACGCCAAGUAGGCUCCCCACAUACUAUCUAUUAUAUACUAAAAGCAAUAUGAAGGGUACCCUGGGGAGGCACCACGUUGAUUCACGUCAUCAGAACUAAUUUGACCGUUCGAUCUAAGAGUUGUAAAAACUCAACCGUUAGAUAUACGUGACACGUAAAUUGUCUUUUAGAUCACGGAAUUAGAACGUGAAACAACCUAACGUGUCACGUUCCUUUUCCUGAAGUCAAAACGCUAUGACCAAGAGACCCGGCGGCGACGCCUUGCAUCUGGCCUGCUGGAUUGCCCGGUGCGCUGGCCCACGCAGAUCCCCGCGGUAGUCAUCGGCGCCUCCUCCGGACCUCUGGUGCCCCAUCUCUCUCGAUCUAAUGCGCGUCCCACCUUCGGCUCCGGCAAGUCAACGUGCGCAAGUCUUGCCC